CCGGAAGUGUUGAGCGCUGAAGCCUACCGGGAGAGGGAAGAUGGCGCUGCCUUUCCUGAGAGUACCCUGGAAGCUGCCCCUCCCCCUUUUUGUCACAAGGGGAAGUAGAGGUUCGUGUGGUUUUAAAGGACGCGCUUAAAUAUCAGGGCCAGAUGCUCCAACUGAGGACGGUCUCAUCUCUUCCACAGCAGGAAGUACACAGAUUCUUAUUUGCCUCUGUGUGCAUAGAAGCAGUCACUGCAUCUGAGGAUCUGGACACCAGUCCAUCGAUGGCAUCAGAAACAGGAAAUAAAGAAUCAGGAAUGUCUACUUCUAAAACCAUAUACAUGAAGAAACCAUUUAAAUUAAGUGCUUAUUGCAGCAAACAAUCCUAAACAAAUUUUGGAAGAAGUAACCACAUUCUACAAAUCCCAUAUAAAGCUGGAUAUCCACUUCAACUGUGCAUUCAGCUCAUCCAUGUGUCAAACUAGGGACACUUUCACACCACCACAACAAGCACUAGGAUUCUAACUGCCAUGUAUGCACCCACUGUAAUCUUGGGUUCUAUGUCAUAAAAGUGUCUGGCUGAGAUUUCUUAAAACCCCUCCUCUAAAUUACGAUUUUCAGGAUUCCAUAGAAUAUAAGGUCCAGUUAAAAGUGGAAUCACAGUACUGUAAAUGUCUAGUGUGAAAAGACUUUAGUGAGGGAGAAAAUGGUCCAUUAGAUCAGUCCCCUUCCUCUUGACUUUCCGUAAGCAAGUGAAAACAUGGCUUCAUGACCAAGCCUUUGAACAAGUGGUGCAAUAGAAAGAUAUGGAAUGACGUGCAAUGACUAUUGGAAUGGCCCGGUCUACAUUUGUGGACCACAUGAUUAACUGUGAAGGUAUUGUUUUAUGUUUUGAUUGUAUUUUAUAAUUCCAUUUUAAAUGUUUAUUUUAUUAUACAUUGUUUUUUAAAGCAUCAAACAGUUGUCUUUGUGUAAAGCCACCUUUAGUCCCCUUCAGGGUUGAGAAAGGCAGAUAAGUGUUGUAAAUAAAUAAAUAAUAAAUAAAUCUGCCUCAGAAUC